CAGCAGUGGGGAAUAUUGGACAAUGGGGGAAACCCUGAUCCAGCCAUGCCGCGUGUGUGAAGAAGGCCUUUUGGUUGUAAAGCACUUUAAGCAGUGAAGAAGACUCCUCGGUUAAUACCCGUGGACGAUGACAUUAGCUGCAGAAUAAGCACCGGCUAACUCUGUGCCAGCAGCCGCGGUAAUACAGAGGGUGCAAGCGUUAAUCGGAAUUACUGGGCGUAAAGCGAGCGUAGGUGGCUUGAUAAGUCAGAUGUGAAAUCCCCGGGCUUAACCUGGGAACUGCAUCUGAAACUGUYAGGCUAGAGUAGGUGAGAGGAUGGUAGAAUUCCAGGUGUAGCGGUGAAAUGCGUAGAGAUCUGGAGGAAUACCGAUGGCGAAGGCAGCCUUCUGGCAUCAUACUGACACUGAGGCUCGAAAGCGUGGGUAGCAAACAGGAUUAGAUACCCUGGUAGUCCACGCCGUAAACGAUGUCUACUAGUCGUUGGGUCCCUUGAGGACUUAGUGACGCAGCUAACGCAAUAAGUAGACCGCCUGGGGAGUACGGC
rnacentral:rRNA from 1 species